rnacentral:lncRNA from 1 species
UUCUGUUUUGGAUUUACCUGGUUCUACUUGAAGGAUUAGAAGUUAAUGACAAGAAGUUAUCAUUUACAUAAUACAGCCCACCUCUUCAAUUUCCCAUAAAAAAUGUCAUAACUACCAUUGCUUAAAUAAGCUUGGCCUAUUUUCUCUUUGCAAAGCACACAAUGCCUGCCAAAGGCACUGUGAGUUCGGACGUAAUCAGUUGCUAGGUUACAAAGAAAUACGAGCUGCUCUUAGUUUCAGGAAGACACAGAGUAAUAUGCAAGCUGGGAGAAAGCAUUGGAAUGUGAGGGCUCCUAGCCCCUUCAGACAACCUAAUAUGACAUUCUGGCCAAGGAAUGAUCCAGUGGUUCUUCCUCGUGUCAAAACCGAUCACUGGGCAAAAAUGAGAUCUGAAGUGAUACACACCUUUCCAUUUUCUGUGCCUAUUGCUGUGGUUCUGGAGAAAGGUAUUGUUCUACUUUUAAAUGAGAACAGUAAAGGAACACGUACUGUAUGUGCACUUACUGUAUUUACGUAG